rnacentral:rRNA from 1 species
UCUGUAGGCGGGCUGAUAAGUCAGCGGUGAAAGUCUGUCGCUUAACGAUAGAAUUGCCGUUGAUACUGUUGGUCUUGAGUCAUUAUGAAGUGGUUAGAAUGAGUAGUGUAGCGGUGAAAUGCAUAGAUAUUACUCAGAAUACCGAUUGCGAAGGCAGAUCACUAAUAAUGUACUGACGCUGAGGGACGAAAGCGUGGGGAGCGAACA